rnacentral:misc_RNA from 1 species
AAGUCGUAACAAGGUUUCCGUAGGUGACCUGCGUAAGGAUCAUUAACACGUAUCCCACGUUAAACAACCCUGUGCCAUUCCUGCUCUCCUUGUCCGUUGAGAAAGCAAUCCCUGGUAAAUCACACGAACAGUUUGAUUCAGGGACCUCUUUUGAUGACGCACUUGGAUUCGAUGCGGCGUCGUAAUUUAGACUUGGUUCUGGAAGCUGCCUAACAAGCAGAUCACUGAUCCUUACGGUCAGUGGACAAGUCUCUGGGCUUCGGCCCCCCAUAUGGAGGAUGCGGAAACGCUCCAUAAAAACGAACAACUGUUAACAAUGGAUAUCUUGGUUCUC